UUUAGCUGUACUGACCCGUGAAGUCCACAGUACAAUCUCAUGAGGUGUGUGACCUUAUUUUACAGAUGAGCGAACUGAGGCACACAAAGCUUCACAACUGUGAGCGGUGGGAGCUGGCAUUCAAACCCAGGUGGUCUGCUCCCAGACCACACACACCCUUAGCAACCAGUGUCUCUCGGCGCCCCAAGUCACCUUCACCAGCUCUGGCUCCCACGAGUCAAGGGUCAGAGACCGGACUUUGGAGAAAUGAACCCCGAGGCUCCUGGAAGGCCAGAGUGGGGGUCAGGCCUGCUGUGGGGCCACAGGCGCUGACCAGGAGGCCACAGGGCUGGGGGCUGCCCGGCCUGGCUCUGCCUAUUGCUUCCUCUUCUCCCUUCUCCUCCAGGACACCCCCAGAUGGCCUCCCCCCAGUCCAGCCGCCGAAGGGUUAAUGCCUGCUGCUGGAUGGGGACCUCCAAGAUGCCUCUGAUGGGCCCUACACUCACUUGCUGGGGGACACGACCUCAAA